CACUUCCUGGCCCUGCAUUUAGUGGUGGCCGUGGUGCGAGCCCAAGCCUGCAUCUAGUACACCAGCCGCCACCUACUCACCACCUAGUCCCAGCUGGUGGCCGUGGUGCGAGCCCAAGCCUGCAUCUAGUACACCAGCCGCCACCUACUCACCACCUAGUCCCAGCUGGUGGCCGUGGCCAUCCAUCAGUACAGGAGGAGAUGGAGAGAUCCUUUCCAUACUACGGAAAGCGGAGGAAGGGGGUGCCUGGAAGGAGGCCUCCGCCAUCAAAUAAGAUUCAACCAGUGAAAUACAUCAGGUUGCAGUUCAUACUGAUGGCAGAGGUCACGGACAAGACUCCAAAACCAAAACAGGAGACCCAACUCCUUGAAGCGGGCCUUGGGAGAAGGACCAUUAAUAUGCCAGAGAGAGCUGAAUAUGAAGAGAUUGUCGGCCUUCUUGAAGACACCUAUCCGAAACUAAAGCUUUUAUCGGGGGGAUGGCUGUUCUAUAAAGCGGC